rnacentral:misc_RNA from 1 species
UGCUUGUUGACAAUAAAUAAAACCAAAGAAUAUUUAGCUUUUUUAUUGUAUUGGCUGAUAUCGGUUUUACCUGUAAUAAGGGUUGAAAUUGUAAGGAAUGAGAGCCCAGUUCAUAUGGGAUUGCAAUUUGUUGAUAUGAAAUGCGCAAGAUGCUUAUUUUAUUUUAUUUUCUUUCUGUGGAAUUUGAUGAUUCUGUGUUGAUGUUUAUGGUACACAAUUUAGGUUGCUAGAAUCAUUUUUUCAUUGUUUUUAACAAUUGCUGUUUACUUUCAAUGUUUGUCAUACUUUCUGUUUGAAAUGA